GGCUGUUAAAAAGAUCCUCUUUUAAACAUUUUAAUGGUACAAAUUAUAUCUGAAUUAAGAAACAUGACAUGAAAAACACAUCGCUUCACAUUUCUGAAUAUCAUAUGCAUUGAGAACAUUCUGGGCCACUGAAAAAUCACCUGAGAGAACGAGUAAGAAAAUUAUUCAGUUAGAUAUGACCAUUUAUCUGGAAAACAACAAAGGGUUGACUCAAAUAUGCCGAUUCUCUGCGCGUCCUCACCACCACCACCGUCCAUAUCAGUAACACAAAGGUACUGUACGAUAACAACUAGCAAAUAUAUUACAGCAUCUUCCACUUUACACUAAUGUCGUUUUCAUAUGCCCAAAAUAAAACAUCCAAAAAAUAUUCAGCAUUUUUACAACAUAUUGAGGGAAGUUCAUACAAAGUGUGCAAAAAUGUCACCGUACGGUCACAGGACGACUCCAAAUGAAGGCACCAUACUUUUAGCUUUCACUCCUAUCGAACCACUCAACAUGACGACUUAGCUGAGCUGCUGGGGGGAGGGGCUUAACAUCAAGGUGGUUAUACCUGUACUGUACAAACGUCCCUCACUAAAGCUGCCAAUGACCAAAGACAGAAACACGGAAAAAAAAGGAUGAAAAAGUGAAGAGCGUUGUAGCCUUUCUGGUGUGACUGUUAUUCUGCAGAGUUGUUAUGUAACAGGACACUUUAGGGGAUAAUUUACGAUGAAAACAUCCACAGAGCUGCUUUUUUAUUUAGGCAUCAUAUUAAAGAUGGGACACCUGCUCUGUGUGUGUCUUUAUUCCACAUUAUUACUGCUACAGUCUGAAGCUGCUGAAAGAUACUUUUGUUUGUGUUGACUUUGGCGCCCUCUGUGGUCGACCAUGCACAUUACAGGUUCGCAGAUUUUAUUCUGAUGAUGCAAAGUUGUAUUUCGCAACAUAAAAAUCUUAUUUGGCUUUUAUCUGUGUUAUUCAUAAUGACUAUUUGCUGUUAAAACUGUAAGAAAGGGGGUUUCUUUAGUGCGCUGUCAGUCGUCUGGUCUGAUCUAACCCCAUAAAAACGUCAAUGUUGUUGCUUUUCUAGCUCACUAAGACGCAUCGCUGUUUGUUUGAGUCUCUUAACAACCAUUUUAAAAACUCCUUAGAGGCGCUUUGAGAACGGCACAUGAACUUAAGUAGCUGAAUGUAAGUUUUUAGUCAAACUAGCUGACUUAUCUUGCUUACACAUAAAGACUGAAAGAACAAGGUUUUCACACUUGGAUAUAGACUUAAGUAAAAAUGAAAAGUAGGGUUUUUUUUCUGUUGAUUUAACGGUACACAACUUUUGGCCAAUCAGAGCCAAACUUUAAACUCAAACAGUAACAGUAGACAACUCUAACCAAGCUUUAAAGCCGACUUGAGGAGUAUUUCUUGCAGUUACGAUGAUUAAAAUGAUAACAGUGAUACCUCUUCAUGACCUACAAGAGCAUUAAGGGUUAUAACCUGGACUAAAAGAGUCAAAUUUACUGAUUUUAAUCUGAGUAAGGCAGUAGGUAUCAGACCAGAUUAUUGCAAGCUGAAGAAACAAGCCUCUGAGUUUCCCACCCUUUCCAUCGUCACAUCAUCUCGAUUAUGGCAAAAAAAUCCAAAAUUAAACUUAGAAAAAACAAAAAAAUCUGCCUUGUGUGUUCAGGGUGAAAGUAGCAGAGAUAAUAUACGUUUUUGUCCACAAGGGGGUGCAAAAAUACGACAAACUAAAAGUUCUUAGUAGUAGCUUUAAGGAGAGUAAAUAUGUGCAUCUAAAAAUGUUUGAAUAUUGUGGAAAAAAAGUUUAUAUUAUUUCAUCCAGUAUUUCAGAGACGUAAAAAAGUUCAUAUAUCCUCGUCUUAUCGGGCGUCAACAGGAGAGUUUAAGAAUUUCUUCUGUUUUGAAACCGAUGAAUUCAGGCUUAAGGCAAAAAAAACCGUCUCAGGUUAGAGGGAGGUUGAUUGUUUAAUUUUGAGUUAUUUUUACUAAUAUUUGAAGUUCUACCAAAAAAAUAAUGAAAAGUUUGACUCAAUAUUCAUUUUUUUAAUGCGCCUGUAUUUUAAAACAAGCGACAGGACUUGACUUCCUUUAGGGUUAGUGGUACUGAGAUAAAAAUGUACAGCCAUCUUUGUUUACAUCAGGGCUGUGUCAGUGUAACUUCAUUAAAAAUUUCUCACCUGUCUGCAUCAGAACUGUUAUUUCUAUUAUUGAAAACCUGAAAUGUUGGUGAUAUGUUGUGUCUCAGGUGUAGCGCAGCGACCCGCUCCUGGUCAGGGCUGUAGCUCAGGUUAACGGCUGCCAUGGUAACAUAAUAGUGCUGUACUACCGGGAUGUAAACGAGCACAGCUGACAGUUGUUGUCUGACAGCAUGGUGUGGUUUGGCAGCAGUUGUGGAGGCUGUGUUUGGUUAAACUGGGAUGUAACCACUCCACCAUGAAAUGUCAUCAGCCAGAGUUAAAAAAUAUUAAAAUAAACAGGAAACAGUUUGCAUUGAACGACCCUGUGAGUAGUGCAAAAUCACCUCUUUGCAGUGUGAACCCUGAAUGGCAGCUCAGUGGCACUGACACUAAUACUGAUAAAUCCACAGAUGCACUUGACCCAGCUUCACUGCAUACACCAAAGUUCAGCUUCACAGAGCCACAGUCGCAGCACCGCCCAAGAGUUUGAACCCGACACACUGUGGCUGAAAUGGGACUACAGUCUUCCUCACAGAGGACAGGUUAGGCUGUUCAUCCUCCAUCAAGUAUGACCUCAGAAAAAGAAAAACACGGAAACUAAAAAAAGAGAAAAAAGCCUGAAAAGGUCACAGAGCAGAGAAGAAGGUUCAUCGUGUUUGUGUGCAAAGUUCCCUCCGACCAAAACAGAUUCAUCAGUGAGAUAAUCCAGACAGAGGCCAAUGAUCCCAGAAAGAAAGUCCAACGUGUGUCUCUCAGUCCUCCAUGUAAGAAGCAGAUAAAGCCUCUUUAUCCAACAUUUACAACACCCAACAACCAAUUUACCGGCAAACUAGGUAUUUAGGAAGAAAAGGAAAGCCCCAAACAAGAGGUGGUGAGUUACUCCAUUUAGAUCUGCCGACUACUGCAGCUCAAACCUGGAAAUCUGUAAAAUGCAUCUUUAUCAGAGAGUUUAUAAAUCUGGGAAAGAGAUUCAGCUUCUUCAAAAGAGGUGAGAAAAACACUGAAGGUGAGAGUUUCGUGACGUACUUCAGGUACAAAAUUUGAGUCCAAAUAUCGAAUUAUUCUACAGAGAGACAGUUGAUAUUUUGAGCGCCUAGCAUGUGCACAACUGCAGGGUAACACAAGAUAAACUAAAUAUAGCACAUAUGAGCCAUUCCUCACCCACACAUCAGGUUAGAAAUGGUUUAUUUCAGGAGCUUAACGCUCUGCUGCGAAGGAAAACGUAGCGUUUAGAGUUUUUCUCUGAAAACAGCUGCGGCCGAAAACAAAACCACCACUGAGCUGUGAGGGCGAGACAGAAUUUCUCAUUACCAGGUACAGCUCUCAAAAAAUUUCACACUGUCGCUGCACCUCAUACAGGUGCUGCGAUAACUGG